GACGAACGCUGGCGGCGUGCUUAACACAUGCAAGUCGAGCGGAGCGGCGCACGGGUGAGUAACGCGUGAGUAACCGCCCCCCUCUCUGGGAUAACAGUUGGAAACGGCUGCUAAUACCGGAUAGUGGGGGAUGACUCGCGUCCUAUCAGCUUGUUGGUGGGGUAGUGGCCUACCAAGGCGACGACGGGUAGCCGGCCUGAGAGGACGACCGGCCACAUUGGGCUGAGAUACGGCCCAGACUCCUACGGGAGGCAGCAGUGGGGAAUAUUGCACAAUGGGUGAAAGCCUGACGGAGCCACGCCGCGUGAGUGAAGAAGGUUUUCGGAUCGUAAAGCACUGUUGUUAGGGAGGGAGUAGCUGCUCCAGUCUUGACGUUAUCUUACCAGGAAGCCACGGCUAACUACGUGCCAGCAGCCGCGGUAAUUC
rnacentral:rRNA from 1 species